rnacentral:rRNA from 1 species
UACGUAGGGCGCAAGCGUUGUCCGGAAUUAUUGGGCGUAAAGAGCUCGUAGGCGGCUUGUCACGUCGGGUGUGAAAGCCCGGGGCUUAACCCCGGGUCUGCAUUCGAUACGGGCAGGCUAGAGUGUGGUAGGGGAGAUCGGAAUUCCUGGUGUAGCGGUGAAAUGCGCAGAUAUCAGGAGGAACACCGGUGGCGAAGGCGGCAUCCUGGACCGGCAUUGACGCUGAGGCGCGAAAGCUAGGGGAGCAAACGGG